rnacentral:tRNA from 2 species
GGGCACAUAGCUCAGUUGGUAGAGCAGCUGACUCUUAAUCAGCGGGUCCUAGGUUCGAGCCCUAGUGUGCCCA